rnacentral:lncRNA from 1 species
GGUUAUAAUAACCUCUUUAAAUCUUUCGAUUAAUCAAUAUAUCAAAAUAACUGAAUACAAUAAGAGGCUUAAAAACGUAUUUAUAAUAAAAUAUAAAACCCUAAAACUAAGAAUAUUCUAAAAUAAUUAUAAUAAAUAAACUAAGAGAUAAUAAUAAGAGAUAUUUGGAAUAUCUCGCUGCAUCAGGUCUCCCCGGCCAAGAAAAGAUUCGUCCUCGAAUCUUGUAUCUGCGCUGCAUCAGCUAAUGAUGGAGCGGAAACUUCUAGGGAUAGGA